rnacentral:ncRNA from 2 species
GGGUGCGGCGCAGGCUGCAGGACAGCGGGUGGUCGGGCCGCCACCC